AAAAAAAGUGAGAACCCACUGUUUUAGAACUGAAUGCUUAUAUGUUUAAACUCUGGCCAAAAGUGUCUUAGAAGGUCUUUGGAGAAUACCUCCAAGUUCAGCUACCUCUUGUCUAGUCAGAUCCUCCUUUGUAUUCUUCUGAGGCUCCUGUAACAAACCAUUGCAAUCUGAGUGGUUUACAGCAUCAGAAAUUUAUUCUUCCACAGUUCUGGAUGCCAGAAUUCUUCAAUCCAGCUGUUGGCAAGACUGGUCCCUCCUGGAGGCUCUGAAGAAGAAUUUGUUCCAUGCUUUUAAGAAGUCUCUCUCCUAGCUUCUGAUGGCUACUGUGGCUGCAGAGUUCAAGUUGGGCCUUCCUUGGCUAUUUGCCAUCCCAAUGCCAAUUAGUGUACACAGAGCCUGGAUUCUUCUCCAGCCAGGAGGGGCAUGGUUACAGCCUGGCCUCAUCAUCAGAAGGUAUUUAUCGAGUGAGUAUUGUUAUCUUAACAUUUACCACACUAUACUGGAAUUAUCUGCUUGUAUUCAUCUAUAUGUGAGAUUGGAAGGUAUUGAAGAAAACAAAAAAUAUCUUACACGAUUUUGUAUUACAAGUAGAGUACCUGGUAUAUGAGUCACUCAAUAAAUGUUUGUUGACCUGAGUUGAAGUAUUUUCAAACGUAUUGCUCUAGAUGACAUAGAGAAGGGGAAAAUCCAGAGAGACAAAAUGGCCUCCCUUAUUUUAUUUUUCUAAAUGUUAUCUAAACAAGAAUAGAUCAAAGAAUAAUUAUAAAGAAAGGUCGAAGGUAAAGCCUUGACAAAAGCAUACUAGGCAACUAUGAGCUGAAAGAAAGUUGGGUACAAUAUACUAUAAUAUCAGACAUGUUGACUUAAAAGGAAUAUAUACAUUGAAUGUAUUUAAGAUAGAAUAUUAGAAGAUCACAAUUAAUAAACUUUAUUAUAUAAAAUUCAUUUAUUUUCAAGUAUAUAUGGAAUAUUUCUUUAAAAAUUAACAUAUAGUAGGCCAAAAUGCAAAUAUUAACAAAUAACAAAGAAGCAGUGUAAUUAAGACCACAUUUUUUUGUCAUAAUGGAAUGAUAUUAGAAAUGAGAAAUGAGAAAUAAAAAUACAGCCAAAAGAAUGCCAUGCAAUUGGAGACCAAAAAGCACUCUGCUAAAUAAUGCAUGGAUCAAAGAAGAAAUAAUAAUGAAAAUGUUAAAAGUAUAUAGAAGGAAAAGAAUAAAAUGAUCAAAUAUGAAGAUUUGUGGGAUAAGGCUAACUUAGUGGUUGAGGGCAUUUUAUAAUUUUAAAUGUCUAUUGAAAACUAAGAAACUCAGAAAAAUUUAAAAUUAAAAGCUAAGCUUUCAAGUCAAGAAAUUGGAAGAAGAACAUCACAGUAAAUCCAAAGAAAAUAGAAAGAAGGAAAUAUAAAUCAGCAUAAAUUAAAGAAAUAUUUUUUUAAAGCAAUGGAAUUGACAAAAAAGCAAAAACUAAUAUUUGUGAAAAAACUGCUAAGAGUAAGAAACUUUUGGUGAAGUCAAGGAAAAAAGCAAAAAAGUAAUAUUAGAAAUUUAUUAAUAGAACAUAACAGCAAAGUAGAAAUGAAAAAACAAAAGUAUCCUAUUCAUAAUUUAUGCCAAUAAAUUCUAAACUGAUUAAAUGAUUUUAUAAAAAAUAAUCACCAAAAUGAACCCAAGAAGCAUUGGAAAAUCCAAAUAUACUAGGAAAUUUCCACCAGUGAUUAAAAACCUACCAUGAAAAAUACCACAGGUAGGUGGUGUUACAGGUGAGUUUUCUUUUAAGGAAUAAGCAACUCAAAUCUUGCACAAAUUGUUUCUGUAAACAGAAAAAUCAGAAAGUCUUUAUACCAAAUCCAGAAAAUACAAGGAAAGAAAAUUACAAACUAAUCUCAUCUAUAAUGAUGAAGAUAACAAUUGGCAUUUAAAUUGAACAUUUACAGGUAUGCUAUAAGCACUUUGCAUGCAUUAUCUCCUUAAUACUAAUAACAACCUCAUGAAGUUGGUACUUUUUUGACUCUAAUUCCCAGCUGAGAAAACUGAGGCAUAAAUUGGUUAAGUAACUUAUCUAAGAUAAUAGCUAAAAAGUGGCAGAACUUGGAUUUUAAUGCAGAAAUUACAAUUUAGGUGAAUCAAAUCAAAGUGUGUGUGUGUGUGUGUGUGUGUGUGUGUCUAAUCUACAGCAUUAACUAUGUUAAUAUCAAAAAAGAAACAUGAUGACAAUUAUUAUCACUGUGGAUCAACACUGAAAUAGAAGCUGUAUCCAUCAUGGUAAAAUAAGAAAAAGAAAUAAGACACAUAUAAACUGAAAGGUAAGAAAUAAAAAUAUUUGUUAUUGACACAUGAUAAUGAUUGCCUACACAGAAAAACUAAGAAAAUCUACAUAUUAUUAAAGUCAUAAGAAUUCAGAAAUGAUGUUAAUACAUAGCCAUGUAAAACAUAGCUUAUAUAUAAACCAUGCAAAUAGUAUUCAUGUUCCUAUAACUAGGAAUAGUAGAUUAGAAUACACAAUUUAAAAAAAGAAAAACAUAGCUAUUAAAAUUAUUGU
ensembl:lncRNA